rnacentral:miRNA from 1 species
CAUGCUUCUUUAUAGUGCCAUA